AGUGAACGCUGGCGGUAGGCCUAACACAUGCAAGUCGAACGGCAGCACAGUAAGAGCUUGCUCUUACGGGUGGCGAGUGGCGGACGGGUGAGGAAUACAUCGGAAUCUACUUUUUCGUGGGGGAUAACGUAGGGAAACUUACGCUAAUACCGCAUACGACCUACGGGUGAAAGCAGGGGAUCUUCGGACCUUGCGCGAUUGAAUGAGCCGAUGUCGGAUUAGCGAGUUGGCGGGGUAAAGGCCCACCAAGGCGACGAUCCGUAGCUGGUCUGAGAGGAUGAUCAGCCACACUGGCACUGAGACCCGGUCCAGACUCCUGAGGGAGGCAGCAGUGGGGAAUAUUGGACAAUGGGCGCAAGCCUGAUCCAGCCAUACCGCGUGGGUGAAGAAGGCCUUCGGGUUGUAAAGCCCUUUUGUUGGGAACGAAAAGCAGCAGGUUAAUACCCCGCUGUUCUGACGGUACCCAAAGAAUAAGCACCGGCUACCUUCGUG
rnacentral:rRNA from 1 species